rnacentral:rRNA from 1 species
AUGGCCACCUGCCUCUCAGACAUGAUUAGUGACCAUUCCCUUGACUUCCUGGGUCUACAAGAAACUAUAAAAAAAGAAUUCACACCAAAGUGUUUGAAAAGAAUUGACCCCUUUGACAUAUUCCAGUGGAACUGGGUGCCCUCUAUGGGGAAAUCUGGGGGCAUUUUAUGUGGUACGAGGAAAGAUACUUUUGAUAUAGUAUCCUGUGCUAAGGGCAAAUAUGUUCUACAACUAGUGUUGUUUGACAAAAAGAAGAAAAUUCAAUGGGGGCUACUGGUAGUUUAUGGAUCGGUGCAUGAUGAAUUCAAAAAUGAAUUCCUGGUGGAGCUAGCAUCCUUUUGUAGUGGCAUGACCAUACCCUACAUUGUGGGAGGGGAUUUCAAUAUUUUGUGUCAUAGCGGGGAGAAAAACAAAAAAAAGCAUUCCCAUUUCUCUGACGUGUUCAACUCUGCCAUUCACCUGUUAGGGCUGAGAGAGAUCGGUAUGUCAGGAGGCUGUUACACUUGGUCUAAUAAACAGGAGAAUCCUACCCUGGAAAAAUUGGAUAGGGUGCUGAUGUCAUCUGAUUGGGAGGAUUUGUAUCCUCUUGUUUCUGUUUAUAAAAUGGUCAAGGAGAUUUUUGAUCACAAUCCACUUCUCUUGGAUUGGGGGGGGGGGGGUGGCACCAUCUAG